GCAGUCGACGGUGAAGAGGAGCUUGCUCCUUGGAUCAGUGGCGAACGGGUGAGUAACACGUGAGCAAUCUGCCCUUGACUCUGGGAUAACUGCGGGAAACUGUAGCUAAUACCGGAUAUUACCUUGGAAGGCAUCUUCUGGGGUGGAAAGAAUUUUGGUCAAGGAUGAGCUCGCGGCCUAUCAGCUAGUUGGUGAGGUAAUGGCUCACCAAGGCGACGACGGGUAGCCGGCCUGAGAGGGUGACCGGCCACACUGGGACUGAGACACGGCCCAGACUCCUACGGGAGGCAGCAGUGGGGAAUAUUGCACAAUGGGCGCAAGCCUGAUGCAGCAACGCCGCGUGAGGGACGACGGCCUUCGGGUUGUAAACCUCUUUUAGUAGGGAAGAAGCGACUGGGUUUUCCUGGGAGUGACGGUACCUGCAGAAAAAGCACCGGCUAACUACGUGCCAGCAGCCGCGGUAAUACGUAGGGUGCAAGCGUUGUCCGGAAUUAUUGGGCGUAAAGAGCUCGUAGGCGGUUUGUCGCGUCUGCUGUGAAAACCCGAGGCUCAACCUCGGGCCUGCAGUGGGUACGGGCAGACUAGAGUGCGGUAGGGGAGAUUGGAAUUCCUGGUGUAGCGGUGGAAUGCGCAGAUAUCAGGAGGAACACCAAUGGCGAAGGCAGAUCUCUGGGCCGUAACUGACGCUGAGGAGCGAAAGCAUGGGGAGCGAACA
rnacentral:rRNA from 1 species